UACGGGGGGAGCAAGCGUUGUUCGGAUUUACUGGGCGUAAAGGGCGCGUAGGCGGCCACCGCAAGUCAGUUGUGAAAUCUCUGGGCUUAACCCAGAAAGGUCAACUGAUACUGCGGGGCUAGAGUGCAGAAGGGGCAACUGGAAUUCUCGGUGUAGCGGUGAAAUGCGUAGAUAUCGAGAGGAAUACCAGUGGCGAAGGCGGCCUUCUGGACGGAUACUGACGCUGAGGCGCGAAAGCCAGGGGGAGCAAACGGG
rnacentral:rRNA from 1 species